rnacentral:piRNA from 1 species
UUCUGUAGAGAAAAACAAAAA